CCUACGGGAGGCAGCAGUGAGGAAUAUUGGUCAAUGGGCGCGAGCCUGAACCAGCCAAGUAGCGUGAAGGAUGACUGCCCUACGGGUUGUAAACUUCUUUUAUAAAGGAAUAAAGUGAGGCACGUGUGCCUUUUUGUAUGUACUUUAUGAAUAAGGAUCGGCUAACGCCGUGCCAGCAGCCGCGGUAAUACGGAGGAGCCGAGCGUUAUCCGGAUUUAUUGGGUUUAAAGGGAGCGUAGAUGGGUUGUUAAGUCAGUUGUGAAAGUUUGCGGCUCAACCGUAAAAUUGCAAUUGAUACUGGCAGUCUUGAGUACAGUUGAGGUAGGCGUAAUUCGUUGUGUAGCCGUGAAAUGCUUAGAUAUCACGAAGAACUCCGAUUGCGAAGGCAGCUUACUAACCUGCCCCUGACAUUGCUGCUCGAAAGUGUGGGUAUCAAACAGGAUUAGAUACCCGGGUAGUC
rnacentral:rRNA from 1 species